rnacentral:rRNA from 1 species
GAUGAACGCUGGCGGCGUGCCUAAUACAUGCAAGUCGAGCGAACAGAUGAGGAUCUUGCUUCUCUGACGUUAGCGGCGGACGGGUGAGUAACACGUGGAUAACCUACCUAUAAGACUGGGAUAACUUCGGGAAACCUGAGCUAAUACCGGAUAAUAUAUUGAACCGCAUGGUUCAAUAGUGAAAGCCGGUUUUGCUGUCACUUAUAGAUGGAUCCGCGCCGCAUUAGCUAGUUGGUAAGGUAACGGCUUACCAAGGCAACGAUGCGUAGCCGACCUGAGAGGGUGAUCAGCCACACUGGAACUGAGACACGGUCCAGACUCCUACGGGAGGCAGCAGUAGGGAAUCUUCCGCAAAGGGCGAAAGCCUGACGGAGCAACGCCGCGUGAGUGAUGAAGGUCUUCGGAUCGUAAAGCUCUGUUAUUUGGGAAGAACAAAUGUAUGAGUAAAUAUGCCCGUCUUGACGGUACCUAAUCAGAAAGCCACGGCUAACUACGUG